UUGUGGAGAGGUCACAUGACUUGCAGAAUGGAAGUGGCAGAACCUGAGCUCAGGACAUUACUCAAAAUGGGGCUGUGGCACCAUGGCGGCUCUGGCCUUUCCUCAGUGUGAUAUCUCCUCCAGGGUGGGAUGCCUCCCCCAACCAAGAUGGCAGCCUCAUCUCCAUGGCAAUCCCCGGAGACUUUGCCUUGGAGACCCAGUUGCAAAUUACGAAGCCCCUUUCCUGAAGCCUGGACCAGCAAGAUCUCUGUUUGAGGAUGGGGUCUGUGGGCCCCAUGGCCGGGAACUCUCGGCUCACCCCACCUCUGCACACUCUAGCCGGGCACCGCAGCCAGCCCUGAUCAGACUUGGUGAGAGGAGUUUUCCCCUGAGUCAACAGUCUUGCUUCUCUGUUCCUCUCAUGCACCUUCCAGAAGGCGCUCAAGCUCUCCAGGGGCAAGAUGGAACAGCUGGCCCUGACCCCCGCUGGAUCAGCCAGGCUCAUUUUUCUGAUCUCCCAUCCCAAAGAUUGCUCUAGCCAAGGACCGUUGUAGAAACAAACAGAUCUGUUCCCCCCAAAAGAUCCUUUAUAUGUUUACAGAUUUUAAAAGCAUAUCAUUUAUGGUAAAUUUCAAGGAUGUAAAAAUAGUGGCCAUGUUGAUGAGAAGAUAUUUUAUUGCAGUGGAUGGAAAAUACACAAAACCAUAGCAAUUUCCCCAGAAGUUCAGAUGGUAGAGAUUCUGUCCAGAGUGGCCACCAAGCACGGAGAGUGUGUGCAGGGAUUAUCUCAUUUAGUUCUCCUGGCAACUCCCUGGCGAAGUUGCUCCUGCCACCCAGGUUUACAGAGAAGGAAACUGUCCAAGAACAGGCAGCGGGCAAAAGGCAGAGAGAGGAUUUGGAGGCAGGACUCUGCUCCCAAAGUGUGUGCACCUUCACCCACACCGGCCUGCCUCUGAUUCUGCCAUUUGACCUACAUCAGGAAUAAGCCCCGAGGCAGAAAUUUCAGGUCAUCAAGAAAGUUAUGCCUUCCGUGCAGAGCAGAAGCUGAUCCAUUAAAGAGUUACUCCGCUGCUCUUUUACUUUCCGUUCAAAAUAAAAUAUAACACAACACUCAGAUAUUAUCACUGUGCCUGAGUGGUUUUAGCCCUCUACCUGCAAGAUGGCUCUGGGCAGAUCUAGAUACCCCGCUUUUUUUUUUUUUUUUUGAGAUUAGACACAAAGGGGUAGAAGAUUGCAUUUUCUAAAGUUGCCUGCAACAGUAUCUGCCAUCCACGUAGUCUUCUUCCAGUGGAAUCUUGACACCCCUUCCCUUGAGGAGGAGGGUCUACAUCUCCCCCGCAUGCAAACCUGGAAAGACUUUUGUGAUUGCCUCGGCCAAAAGAGAAUGGUAGAACUGUUGCUGUAGGACUUCAGAGGCCAGACAAUAAGACUGUCAUGCACUUCCUCCUGGCUUUCAUGGCACGCUCACUCUUGGAACUCAGCUGCCGUCUUGUGAGGAAGCCUAUAUCGUUGUGUGCAGAAACCACAUGGAGAGGCCAAGGAAGGUGUCCCAGCUGACAGCUGCAUCAUCUGCCAGGCACGAGCCAAGAUACCUCCAGAUGCUUCUAGCCCCCACCUGUCAGGUCACUCUCAACUUUGCAUCUUCCCAGCAGAGGUCCCCAAAAUCAUGGAGCAGAGACAACUCUCCCUGCUUUGCCCUGCCCAAGUUCUGCACCGCAGGACCUAAAGAACCUACAGAGAGAACAACAAUACAGAGAGAUUUGUCUGCUCCUCUGCUGCUGGCGACGGAGGGGUGUGCGCUGGUUCUCUAUGACAUGCCCGAGAGGAGAACCAGGAGAGGAGAGACCAUUCCAAAGAAACUAGGGUUCUGUUUGCUGCAUGAAAUACGACUCCAUUUUUAUUUGUGGGGAAACAAUUUUCUUCCCAUCCUAAGUUGACAUUAAACAAAUACUGGAAGAUGA